rnacentral:tRNA from 1 species
GURGCGRUAUCAAUAGAGUACUCGGCUACGAACCGAGCGGUCGGAGGUUCGAAUCCUCCCGGAUGCACCA